AUUUGUGAAACUGUAUAAAUCUAAUUUGAAGAGUAGGAAGAGGAAGUGGCUUUCAUUAAAAUUUGUUAGAUAUAGAUUUUAAGAAGUUUCAUCUAUAAAAUAAAUAAUUGUUUGUCAAUUGUUUAUAUAAAUAAAUAAGAAGAAACAGUGAAAAAUAUAAAUUUUUCUUUUAAUUUAUUUAUAAUAAGUUUAUGGAAGGAAUUGAAACUCGUGCCAUUCACUAUUUGAACAGUCGAAGAUAGACGUGUUAAUGGAAAGAUGAUAGAUUGGAAGAUUUUGAGAAAUAGGUAACGAAUAUAUAUAUCCAAUGUAGAAUCUUAGUGUUUUAUUAUCAAACUCAUAAACUAUCUAUCUACAUUACAAAAUAAUGUAUCAUAAAUUUAACUUGAUAUAAAUGAUUUUUGUGUAUGGAAAAGUUCGUACAAAAGUUUCCUAAUCUUGUGGUAUUGUUUAAUUACAACAUUAAUCUACAUACAUAGAAUAAUCUACUUAAAUUAAAGAUUCUUAUUAGUAAUCUACAUUUGUCACUAAAGUAUUAUGAAUUAUUUGUUUAUGCAUGAUAUAAAAGUGGAAAUAUUGGAAAAUCGAAUAAAUUCGAGAAUCCAAUAAAUUGCACUUUUUUACAAUAAGAUUUCAUACAUCUGUCUCAUUGUUCCAUAUGCAAAAACCAUAUUAUCAUAUAAUUUGUUUGAUGUAAUAAAUUUUUGUUUUAAACAUUUUUUUUAAAUGUUUCAUUACUAUAAAAAAUAAUUCAUAAUAUUCACAUUAUAUAUAUUUUUAAAUUUAUCUGACUAUAUUUAAAUUGCUUAUUAAAUCUCUACAUUAUUCUU